ACUGGGCAUCACUGACGCUGAGCUCGAAAGCAUGGGAGCAAACAGGAUUAGAUACCUGGUAGUCCAUGCCGUAAACGAUGAUUACUAGGUGUGGGGGGAUAGACCCCUCCGUGCCGCAGCUAACGCAAUAAGUAAUCCACUGGGGAGUACGGCCGCAAGGCUGAAACUCAAAGGAAUUGACGGGGGCCCGCACAAGCAGUGGAGUAUGUGGUUUAAUUCGACGCAACGCGAAGAACCUUACCAGGUCUUGACAUCGUAUGCAUAGCCUAGAGAUAGGUGAAUCCUUCGGGACAUACAGACAGGUGGUGCAUGGUUGUCGUCAGCUCGUGUCGUGAGAUGUUGGGUUAAGUCCCGCAACGAGCGCAACCCUUAUCGUUAGUUACUACGCAAGAGGACUCUAGCGAGACUGCCGUUGACAAAACGGAGGAAGGUGGGGAUGACGUCAAAUCAUCAUGCCCUUUAUGACCUGGGCUACACACGUACUACAAUGGCCAUCACAGAGAGAAGCGAGACCGCGAGGUGGAGCAAAACUCAGAAAAAUGGUCUCAGUUCGGAUUGAAGGCUGCAACUCGCCUUCAUGAAGCCGGAAUUGCUAGUAAUCGCGGAUCAGCAUGCCGCGGUGAAUACGUUCCCGGGCCUUGUACACACCGCCCGUCACACCAUGAGAGCCGGGGGGACCCGAAGUCGGUAGUCUAACCGCAAGGAGGACGCCGCCGAAGGUAAAACUGGUAAUUAGGGUGAAGUCGUAACAAGGUAACCA
rnacentral:rRNA from 1 species